rnacentral:lncRNA from 1 species
GAGGGAUUGUGUUAGGAUAUUUUCUAUUUUUAUGGAUGAGAGAAUCUCUCCUAAUUAGUUAUUGUUUCCUUAGAGAUAGUGAUUGUGUAUAUUAUAUGGCUUAGAUUAGGAAUCCCACUUGUAUAUAUAUAGGUCACUUUGUAUUCAGUUUUGACACAGAAAAAAAGAAGAAUAUUUUCUUCAUGGUAUCAGAGCAUUCAGAUCUGAACCACGUAUAAAAAAA